UACGGGGGGAGCAAGCGUUGUACGGAUUUACUGGGCGUAAAGGGCGCGUAGGCGGCCACUGCAAGUCGGUUGUGAAAUCUCCGGGCUUAACCCGGAAAGGUCAACCGAUACUGCAGGGCUAGAGUGCAGAAGGGGCAACUGGAAUUCUCGGUGUAGCGGUGAAAUGCGUAGAUAUCGAGAGGAACACCUGCGGCGAAGGCGGGUUGCUGGGCUGACACUGACGCUGAUGCGCGAAAGCUAGGGGAGCGAACGGG
rnacentral:rRNA from 1 species